GCUUGCUAGUUUGGUUGGUUGAUUUCACUGGAAUAUUGCCUUGCCAAGCCUGGGGUCUGSAGGCAGGCAGACACCUGUUACAUCAUUAAAGUGGCAUUUGGAACAAAUGGUUGAUCCACUGCAGGGAAGACAAAGGGUAUUAGGGGGCAUUUUGUGAGAUUGUUUCUAUAUGUACAGCUAUACCAUCAAAUGUUUGCAACCAAAUUUUACUUAAAUAUGACAUUAUGUGUAAUUGCAGUGUAACGUGUUGGAGAAGGUCCAAUGAAGUUGCAGCCUGGGUUCCCUUAUGGAGAUUUCAUCAAUCAAGUUGAAUAUAUGAACUGUCUGUGUUUUCUUAAUUGAACCCUUGGGCUUGAUUUGGGUCAGACUCAUUCUGUAGCCCCCUAGGUGGCUUAUCUCCCUGUAUUCUGAUUAGUCUCUUUUUAUAGACCAAAAUAGGUUUGGACUGCCCUUUGCAGCACAAAUACACAAUUUGAUGAUUCCCAAACGGAGGUGGAGGAUGUCCUGCUGGACCUGAUUGAGGCCAAUCCAGACCUAUGCCUCACAAUCAAAGAUCUUGAAGUUAUCUUUCUACAGUCUCAAAUAAUGAUAUCAAAUAACAUGAAUGUUUAGAUUGAUUGCUUUGAUCCAUUGCUGGUGCUCAGACUUGUCUCCUACAGCCUGUUCGACACCUAGUUCGACACCUAGUCGUGCACAGACACAUUAUCCCUCUCGUCAAGUGACUUAGACCUGAGCUCUCCAGAAAGACUGUCUAAAAAGGCCCACACAACAUUAGGAGAUGAGGCCAUCGACUCCGUAGCAGCAAAAGAGAUGGUUCGAGAUGCUCUGACUAGUAGACCUGGCGGGAAAUGCGUAUUAGAAGAGUACCAGACAACCAAAACAUUGGACCACAGAACCAGGAGAGAGAUUGCCAUCUUAGUCAGCCGCAUGAAAGAGAUGCAUGAGAGGCCCAACCCAUAGGAGGAAAACUGACCUGGACCACCAGCUUGUUGGUGAUGCUUGCAAGGARGCCAUAUCAUUCCUUGUCCACACGGCCAAUGAAAAACAAAUCUAUCAGAAGAUGUAGGAGGUAUUCCAGUAUCGCCAGGAGCUAGUUUAUAGUCCAGACAGAAGCACAGAUGUCCUCAGUCUUUCCCAGGUUUCUGGGAAACAUAGGAUUGGACUUUUUGCUGAUGUUCGACGAUGAAACAUCCUCUGAGCUCCUUGAAAAGUGGGACACUGUAUUGAAGCCUAAAGUCAUCAAACUGGCAAAAUCCCUGACUACCACCGCUCCUGAAGUCUGCAGAAAAACUGCCGGUAGAAUGACAGUGAAACCAGUUAAUGGAUUCUCUCGUGGUCAUGCUGCAGCAUUGAAGACCAUCUUGAUGGGAGCCAUGGUCGACAGCCAUACUUCCUUGCCRUCGGAAGAAGACAGAGCAAGAUUGACAACUACUACAUCGUGGUGGACAAGAGGCUAGUUCCCUGCCAGGCAACUAGUGAUCUGUGUGCGUUUGAUGAACUGUUCAAAGUCCACUGUCUUUAACCUGACACAAACUCAGUAAAAAAAGAAAUGUCAACUGCAUUUAUUUUCAGCAAACUUAAUUAAYGUGUGUAAA